AUGCUAUACGGUAAACGACUGUUCCAACAAUAUGUGGUCGACAUGUACAUCAAGGUUGAAACCUCUAGGUUAGACUAUAUAAGAAAUCACCAGAAACAAAUACGCUCUGAUCUAUACCAAGGUGUUGUUGAUAGCCUUCAAGCUGGGGAAAACCGUGCGGAUGCUGUGGGCAAAUGGAUUGUACUUCCUACAUCAUUUAUUGGGGGAAGAAGAGAUAGGAGACGAAGAUACCUUGAUGCCAUGGCCUUGGUGCAGAAGUAUGGGAAACCAGAUAUCUUUUUAACCAUGACUUGCAACCCGAAUUGGGAUGAGAUAAUUGGUGCCUUGGAGCCUGGACAAACCCCACAGGAUCGCCCUGAUAUUGUUGUACGAGUAUUUAGAGCAAAGUUGGAAGACCUCAAGAUACAACUUUUCAAAAAGCACAUGCUCGGCAAGGUAGCAGCAUAUGCAUAUGUUGUCGAGUUCCAGAAAAGGGGUCUACCACAUGCUCAUUUCCUCCUAAUCAUGGAGGGGAGGUACAAGCUAACAUGCCCAGAGCAAUAUGAUUGUAUCAUAUCUGCUGAAUUGCCAGACAAAUUCAAGUACCCUGAGUUGUACAAGAUGGUCGUCAAGCAUAUGAUGCAUGGCCCUUGUGGAGUCCUAAACCCCAAAAAUGUGUGCAUGCAAAAUGGCAGUUGCAAGAACUACUAUCCACGGCCAUUUAAUGCGUCAACUCUUCAGGGAAAGGACUCAUAUCCCAUAUACAGGAGGAGAGAUGAUGGACGUCGUGCAAAGGUACGAGGUGAAGAAUUAGACAAUAGGUGGGUUGUUCCAUACAAUCCUUACCUACUAAGAAGGUAUAAUUGCCACAUCAAUGUCAAGGUUUGCUCAAGCAUAAAAGCUGUAAAGUACCUCUUUAAGUACAUAUACAAGGGGCAUGAUCGAGCAUCUGUUUCUAUCGACGAGGUGGAUAAUGAUGGGAGCAUUGAUGAAAUAAAGCAAUACAGAGAUUCCAGGUGGGUUACUCCACCAGAAGCAUUGUGGAGGAUCUAUGGUUUUGACCUUAGUGAGAUAUUUCCAUCUGUUAAACAACUACAACUCCACCUCCCUAAUAUGCACAUGGUGUCGUUUCCAACGGGCGCAAAUCUGAAUGAUGUCCUCUCUCAAGAAGGAGCUUCCAAGACCAUGUUAACCGAGUAUUUUGAGGCAAACAAGAAAUAUGAGUUGGCUCGAGGAAUCUUAUAUAAGGAUUUCCCUGCGUCUUUUGUUUGGGUGUCAGGUAGCAAGUAUUGGAAAAGGAGGGCUAAACACACGCAGAUUGGGAGAAUUGUGUCUGCACAUCCAGCUGAAGGGGAGAGGUAUUAUCUUAGAGUGCUUCUAAAUCAUGUCACGGGUGCUACAUCCUUCCAAGACCUAAGGACGGUGAAUGGUAUUGUUUUCCCAACAUUCCGUGAAGCUGCUGAAAAUAGGGGCCUUAUCGAGUCUGACAAUAGUAUCGACGAGUGUCUUAAUGAGGCUGAGGUUUUUCAGAUGCCAUCUUCCCUUCGGAGGCUAUUUGCUACUAUAUUGGUCUUUUGUGAGCCCAGCGAUGUGCGUGGCCUAUGGGACCGGCACUUGGAAGCUAUGACAGAAGACUAUCGACUAACCCACAUGUCCCCCCAUGAAGUUGAGCAGAUGGCUCUGUUAGAUAUAAAAACCAUGCUACAAUCGAUGGGGAAGGACAUAUCGUCAUUCCCUCUUCCAGAAAUUGACGACUCAUAUGAUGCCCCAGAUAAUGAGGCUAGGGAGAUCAUAGAGGAGUCCACGAUCGAGGUGGACCCAGAACACAUUGGCUUGUCAUCUUUUCUAAACCCAGAACAGAGAUAUGCAUAUGAUGAGAUACUUGCGACAAUUAAUAGUGGCCAGGGAGGUGUGUUCUUUGUCGAUGGACCAGGAGGCACAGGAAAAACAUAUCUGUACAAAGCUCUACUUGCAAAAGUACGUGGUGAGGGUCAGAUAGCUGUUGCAACAGCGACGUCAGGUGUUGUUGCAUCCAUCUUGGCUGGAGGGAGGACUGCACACUCGAGGUUUAAAAUACCACUAACAUUGAAGACGGUGGGGUUUGUAGUUUCGCCAAGCAAAGUGGGAUAA
rnacentral:rRNA from 1 species